rnacentral:rRNA from 1 species
UAGGGAAUCUUCCGCAAUGGACGCAAGUCUGACGGAGCAACGCCGCGUGAGUGAAGAAGGUUUUCGGAUCGUAAAACUCUGUUGUUAGAGAAGAACAAGUGCUAGAGUAACUGUUAGCGCCUUGACGGUAUCUAACCAGAAAGCCACGGCUAACUACGUGCCAGCAGCCGCGGUAAUACGUAGGUGGCAAGCGUUGUCCGGAUUUAUUGGGCGUAAAGCGAGCGCAGGCGGUUCCUUAAGUCUGAUGUGAAAGCCCCCGGCUCAACCGGGGAGGGUCAUUGGAAACUGGGGAACUUGAGUGCAGAAGAGGAGAGUGGAAUUCCAUGUGUAGCGGUGAAAUGCGUAGAUAUAUGGAGGAACACCAGUGGCGAAGGCGACUCUCUGGUCUGUAACUGACGCUGAGGCUCGAAAGCGUGGGUAGCAAACAGGGUUAGAUACCCUGGUAGUCCACGCCGUAAACGAUGAGUGCUAAGUGUUGGAGGGUUUCCGCCCUUCAGUGCUGCAGUUAACGCAUUAAGCACUCCGCCUGGGGAGUACGACCGCAAGGUUG